rnacentral:rRNA from 1 species
GACGAACCGUGCGAACGUUGUUCGGAAUCACUGGGCUUAAAGGGCGCGUAGGCGGGUCAGCAAGUCCGGGGUGAAAUCUUUCGGCUUAACCGGAAAAGUGCCUUGGAGACUGCUGGUCUUGAGGGAGGUAGGGGUCUGCGGGACUUCUGGUGGAGCGGUGAAAUGCGUUGAUAUCAGAAGGAACGCCGGUGGCGAAAGCGGCGGACUGGACCUCUUCUGACGCUGAGGCGCGAAAGCUAGGGGAGCAAACGGG